rnacentral:rRNA from 1 species
CCUACGGGGGGCUGCAGUGGGGAAUCUUGCGCAAUGGACGAAAGUCUGACGCAGCCAUGCCGCGUGAAUGAUGAAGGUCUUAGGAUUGUAAAGUUCUUUAGCCUGUGACGAUGAUGACGGUAACAGGAGAAUAAGCCCCGGCUAACUUCGUGCCAGCAGCCGCGGUAAUACGAAGGGGGCUAGCGUUGUUCGGAAUUACUGGGCGUAAAGCGCGCGUAGGCGGUUUUACAAGCCAGAGGUGAAAUGCCUGAGCUCAACUUAGGAAUUGCCUUUGGAACUGUAUGGCUUUGAGGACGAGAGAGGUGAGUGGAAUUCCCAGUGUAGAGGUGAAAUUCGUAGAUAUUGGGAAGAACACCGGUGGCGAAGGCGGCUCACUGGCUCGUUUCUGACGCUGUAGCGCGAAAGCGUGGGGAUCAAACAGGAUUAGAUACCCUAGUAGUC